GCCCGGCUAGCUCAGUUGGUAGAGCAUUCGACUCUUAUGAAGGGUUUCAGAUUAUCUGUCUGCCAUCGAAUUGUCGUGGGUUCGAGCCCCAUGUUGGGCG
rnacentral:tRNA from 1 species